CCAGAACGCUGCACAGCCCUGCGGUGUCGUCGUGGAGGUGGGCUGGCUCGGCCAAGCCGGGCUGGAGGCAGGCGGGAAUGCAGACUAAAUCAGUCAUCAAAAUACUGGGAAAAAAAAUACCUUACUGGAUUUUGGAGUUUUGGCUGGAGAUAAACUGUGGGAGCAGUGAAGCUGCCUGUGAAGGUAGCUAUAAAUGGAGGUCAGUCACAGACAGAGAACACAAUACAAUAUGUACUGGGACUGAAAUAUUAUAUUGCCUCACUGAAGAAGUUGCAUAUACUUUACUGUGAAAGACUGUGUGAUCUGAAUAGCAGUACCUGACCAUUAAGAGGAUGUGUAUUUGAAUAAUAGAGGCCACAGGGACAAUAUGACUCAGCUCAUUCCUAAUUUUUGAUUUUCUUCCCUUGAAUUAUUAUUAUUAUUAUUUUAUAUAGAAAAUAAAAGGGGAAUUAUAGAAGCCUACCAAAAAAAAAAAAGGUACAUGGUUGGAAAGGAGCUAAUACACAAAAAUAUAAGGUGUAUUGUGUCUCUGUGUAGAUUUAAUGGGUCUCUUGAAAUAACCUUACAUUUGAUCUUUGCACGCCUGACCAAGUAACAGAGGAGAAUUUGGACAUGUUAUAGUUACUUUCUUUCUCUUUCAUUUCCUUUCACCUAUCAGAACCUGUGAUUUGAAGUGUAACUGCAAAUAAGUGUGAAUUAAAAAAUCCUAUCAAGCAGUUGUCUGUAAGUUCUAGUAUUUAGCCCAGCUGUUAGCAGGAGUGAUUUCUCCUGCAGAAAUGGAGGAAUAGUUUUGUGAGAAUUCAGUCAGCUUUACUCUUGAACUUUGCAUCUUUUUCCAGAGCAAAAGUACAGAGAACAUCUCAGUUUCCUUUUAGUUCAUUUCUAUCAGGUAAAUAGUGCUGAGCAUCACUAUUAGUUUUGGUAUGAAGUACAUGCAAGUUAAACUCAAGGACAGUCAGAAAAAAAUCCAGUUUCUCCUAAAAUUUAGGAAAAAAAUCCCCAAACUUCACACCAAGUAUCUUCCUUCAAUUUUAAAGAUACCUAUGCUGUUUUAUUAUAAAUUAAAAGACAAGUCCUUUUGCUUUGGUGCAGAUUUCCUUCCUACAGAUGAAUCUACAAAUAUAUUGGUCACAAUAUGCUUUCUACUGAAUAGAGAAAAUACUUCUUUUAGUAUGCGAUUCUCCUUUACUCUCUUGUAACUGUUUACUAUGAACUAAAGGGAACUAAAGAUUUUUGAACAAAUAAAACAAAAUCCAGUUACAUGUUAACAAAACAAAAAAAAAAGACAAGGAAAACAUUUAAACCCCACCAAAAUUAUGAACAGUACACACCCAUGCACACACAUAAUAGAUUGGUACCUGUAUCUGUUGUGAAUCAAAUUGAAGCUGGAAUAUACUAUAGACAUAAUAAAAGCUGUGAAAAACAACACCACUAACAAAUAGUCACAACUUAAUAGAAGCCUACUGAAAUGAUGUAACAUUUAGUUAACCCCAACAUUUUGUUUUAUGAUCUCAAAGAGAUAGUAAACAUCUUAAUGACAAUUGUAGCCUUUCAAGCAAGGCAGACACCCUGGUUCAAGGAACAGCACAGUGGCCCCCCUUGGCCACUCGGACCAUAACCCACAGACACCAGUGUGAUGGAUGGCGGAAAUGGCGUUUACUGUUGGAGAAUUGACAUUUUAUAACCUAGGGUCACUGUGUUACUCCCAUCUGCUUUCAUCACAGUUAGGUGCUAUUGACUAAUUGUAGAAGGCAUUACCAUACUAACGGAGAGGGGGGUUACUAUCUUUCCAUUACAUUCCGAUAUCUUCUGAGCCACCAGACCUUACUUCAACAGACAAUCACAAAUUAUUUUAGAUUGGAAAGACUUAGUAGUAUCCAUUGGAAACCUAAUUCUGCAGAAUGAUUAGAUAUGUGCAUUGGAGAGAUUUAGCUCAGAAAAAGACGGUUUUUUAAGACUGGAGAAAUCAAUCAAAAAAUAGUCAUAGGAAGGGGAAGAAGUUUUUUUGAUGAGAUAUAUCAGUAAUAUUGGAAAAUAGGUAUGUUGUGGAACUAGAUAUGAGUCUACAGAGGCUUAUCCAGAAACAAGAUUAAUAGUAGAUCUGGGACAAUUAAAAACCAGGUAGUCACUCUGUUUAGUAGAAAAGAGGAACCUAUUUCUCUAUUUGUCAAAUGUAUUUUCAAACAACAUUUAAGAAAAUUGCCUUCAUGGAGCCCGGCUCACUUUGUUAAGUGUGCUUUGUUGUCCUUAGUGGUGAUGUCCUCUUUUUUAAUUGGCGUACGUCCUGCACAGAUUUUGGUUUUAGCCAAAAACGUUUCCACUGGAUCUCAUAAUCUUUUAUCUGAUUACUAUGAAUUCUUCUCUGAUACUCCUAAUUGUAAACUUUUCUUCAAUGUACAAGAAAAGAUCUUUAAGUCAAUAAUGCCAUCCUUGCCUCCAAAGUCAGUCCCUUUUUAACCUGCUGAUCUUACUGCCUGUUCCACAUUAUAAAACCAAGAUCAGUAUUACUGACUGUGGUCACCAGUUCUACAGACAUUACUAAGCACAUGGAAAUUCUUUCCUGAUCUCUUGCCCAGCUGACUCAUUUCCACCUUAUUCAUGUAACUGAGGAGAGGUUAAUAGGUUAAGAAAUGAAGCUGGGAUUCAUUUGUCAGUUUGUAUUUAAAUUUUAGAGUAAAUUGUCUUCUAUUCUGUAACUUCUAUCAUAUGUCACUUAUCUUUUUUGUUUAUAAUAUAUUUGAAGCAAUAACUGCAACAUUUGGGUUUCUAACUUGUGCUUCCCUGUGCAUAAUAUAAAAAAACAAACAGAACAAAGCCCCCAAAACAGCAACAAAAAUUAAAAAGUGCGAAAGAAAAAUUGAAGGAAUGAAUUCUGCAGGACUGUGUAAGUAUAAAAAGAGAUGAAAAUGGGAUAUAUACACUUGGAGUAUUUAUUACUGCUGCGGUGAUGGAAAGGUUGGAGCGUGGUGACUUCUCUGGAGAAGCAGCCCUGAAAAGGGCUGGGCCGAAGCGCGUGUGUGCGACUUUGGGCAGGCGAGUGAUUCCAGCUCGGCUCAUCGGUGGCGGGCAGGCGACACGGGAAGCAGGGACAAGAAGGCUGAUCUAGCAUUCCGCCACGCACAAACCUUUAUUCAGACAGAGCUUUG